CACAGAUAUAGAGAGAGAGUAUGCGAAAUUGCUAACAUAGAGAGAGAGAGCGCACAACAGAGAUCAAAAUAAUGUAAAUCUAAGGUUUCUAUUGUGUUUUUCUCUUCUUCUGCUGCAUCUUUUAUCUAAAGGAAAGGUGGAUUCUUUGUUCGUUAAGACGAAGGGGCUGUACGUUUCAUUUGUGACGGAUAAAGAUUUUUGGAGAAGGCCGGGUUUCUUAUGGAUAAAGAUUUUUGGAGAGGGAACAUGUUUCUACCUUCUCGCUCACAAAAAUUUUAAAAGCCAAUACGGUAAGGAACUGAAAGAGAGGAGGCAUAGGUAAGUCUACGUAAACGUGAAAAAGAGAACCAACUGACAUGUAGUCAAGGUAACUCGGAAGAUCCACUAGCAUAAUUAGAUAGAGGUAACUCACACGGGUGGCUCUAUCUGCAUUGGGGAGCAUUGCAAGAGACUUGCUGUUGCAAAGGGUCGAGAUCCAACACCAGGUGAGGUACAUUUGCAUGUCCAUACACAUGAUCAUGAUGGAGAAUCUUUUGUUGAUGAGCGUGCCCGAGCUGUCCAUGAUCCUAGUGAGGAGUUGUUUGGUUAAAGAAUUCCAACGUUGGGCACCUUCUUAUCUCUUUCGUUCCCAGUGAUCGAUCGGAGAUUCAAGACGACCUCUUCUUCCACAUAAAAGGAAAGAUAUCAAGAAAUAUUACGGGAAAAUUCAGUCUCAGUCUGAUAUUGAUCAAUGUGAAGCAUAUUACAAAGCUGCUGGGGGAACAAGGAAGAGAAGAAUAUAUCGUAGUCCUUCACCCAUGCAUUAGUUUUUUAUGUUAUCUGCUUUUUGCUGGAAAGAACAAAAUUAUGCACGUUCUUUUGGUAGUUGAUAGCUUGGUGUUGCCAGUGUUUUGGACUAAACGAUUAGGAUUCCGCUA